rnacentral:rRNA from 1 species
AUUGAACGCUGGCGGCAGGCCUAACACAUGCAAGUCGAGCGAGCGGCGGACGGGUGAGUAAUGUAUGGGGACUGCCCGAUAGAGGGGGAUAACUACUGGAAACGGUGGCUAAUACCGCAUACUAUCCGAUAACCCAUAUGGGAUUAGCUGGUAGGUGGGGUAAAGGCUCACCUAGGCGACGAUCUCUAGCUGGUCGGAGAGGAUGAUCAGCAAAAUUGGGACGGAGAAACGGCCCAAAUUCCAACGGAGGCACAAGUGGGGAACAUUGCACAAUGGGCGAAAGCCUGAUGCAGCAAUGCCGCGUGGAUGAAGAAGGCCUUAGGGUUGUAAAGUACGUUCAGCGGGGAGGCGUUACCCGCAGAAGAAGCACCGGCUAACUCCGUGCCAGCAGCCGCGGUAAUAC